CCUACGGGAGGCUGCAGUGAGGAAUAUUGGUCAAUGGGCGCAAGCCUGAACCAGCCAUCCCGCGUGCAGGAAGACGGCGCUAUGCGUUGUAAACUGCUUUUCCAGGGGAAGAAAACCUGAUACGUGUAUCGGCUUGCCGGUACCCUGGGAAUAAGCAUCGGCUAACUCCGUGCCAGCAGCCGCGGUAAUACGGAGGAUGCGAGCGUUAUCCGGAUUUAUUGGGUUUAAGGGGUAUUAAUGCGGAUGCGGUGAAAACCUUCAGCUUAACUGGAGACUUGCCAUUGAUACUGUUAGUCUUGAGUACGGUCAAGGUAGGCGGAAUGUGUAAUGUAGCGGUGAAAUGCUUAGAUAUUACACAGAACACCGAUUGCGAAGGCAGCUUACUGGGCCAUUACUGACGCUGAUGCACGAAAGCGUGGGGAGCGAACAGGAUUAGAUACCCCUGUAGUC
rnacentral:rRNA from 1 species